UACGUAGGGGGCUAGCGUUGUCCGGAAUCAUUGGGCGUAAAGAGCGUGUAGGCGGCCCGGUAAGUCCGCUGUAAAAGUCAAAGGCUCAACCUUUGAAUGUCAGUGGAUACUGCCGGGCUAGAGUCCGGAAGAGGCGAGUGGAACUCCUGGUGUAGCGGUGGAAUGCGCAGAUAUCAGGAAGAACACCAACGGCGAAGGCAGCUCGCUGGGCCGAAAUUGACGCUGAGGAGCGAAAGCGUGGGGAGCAAACAGG
rnacentral:rRNA from 1 species